GACGAACGCUGGCGGCAUGCCUAACACAUGCAAGUCGAACGAGAUCUUCGGGUCUAGUGGCGCACGGGUGCGUAACGCGUGGGAAUCUGCCCUUUGGUUCGGAAUAACAGUUGGAAACGACUGCUAAUACCGGAUGAUGACGAAAGUCCAAAGAUUUAUCGCCAGAGGAUGAGCCCGCGUAGGAUUAGCUAGUUGGUGUGGUAAAGGCGCACCAAGGCGACGAUCCUUAGCUGGUCUGAGAGGAUGAUCAGCCACACUGGGACUGAGACACGGCCCAGACUCCUACGGGAGGCAGCAGUGGGGAAUAUUGGACAAUGGGCGAAAGCCUGAUCCAGCAAUGCCGCGUGAGUGAUGAAGGCCUUAGGGUUGUAAAGCUCUUUUACCCGGGAUGAUAAUGACAGUACCGGGAGAAUAAGCUCCGGCUAACUCCGUGCCGGCAGCCGCCGUAAGAC
rnacentral:rRNA from 1 species